AAUAAAAGUUAGAGUUUCGUUGUUAUUGUAGUAUUUUGUUGUUGCUGCACCCAAAAGCGCAGGGAAACAACCCAGAGGGCUCCCUUUUCCAGCAAACGCGUCCCUGACGCCGAGCAGCGGCUCGCCGCCCCGGGCACGCCGCGCAGCAGCGAAUGGCGCUGCAGAUCCCGCUGGGCGCGGUGCGGUGCAGUCCGAGCCUUCGGGCCCGGUCGCGACCGCCCCAUCCCGGCGGUGCCGGGCAGCCCCUCCCGCUGAGCGCCCGGGGAAAGAGAAAGCGAAAGGGAACGAAAGCGAAAGGACGGGCAGGGAGCGAUGGGCUGCGCAGCGUGGCUGGCGGCCGGCUGCCUUCUGAGCGCCGUAAUCACAAGGACCCCGAACAGCAUCGCUUCUGCAGAGCCGGGGCUCAGGAGGAGCCUGCAACUUCCCUGCGUAUUUGAAAUGAGAAAAACCACUCCCCUGUCCAACGAAACAGAGACCGUGCUGCUGAACGUCAGGCUGCUGCUGCCUGUGGCUGGAGCAGAAGGCGCUCAAAGGCCUCAGACAGAAAGCCUUCCUGCAGACAACCUGCCCUCGUUCAUUGUACAAGAGCCCUCGGUGAAUAUUCUGCAGUACACAGAUGAGGAUAUCAACAUGCUUGACUGCAGGAUCAGCUAUUACUUUACAGCCAACACUCAGAUCCUCUGGCCUGGGAGGGAGGUUCGAGCCCACAGCCUGGACACCUGGUUCACUUGCACCAUAAAGCACACAGCUGGGAAAUACACAGCUACAGCCUUCCUUGUGCAAGGCCAUGAGGACAGAGAGCACCAAACUCCAGGACAGCUUCACCAGGGCAUCGCAGAGCAGACACACGUGUCAGCUGUGCUGGCGGUCCGCGCGCGGCUGCCCCGGGUCCGUACGGAGCUGGGGAAGGACGCGGUGUUGGAUUGCGCCUUCGACGCCGACCCGCGGGCGGCCGUAGCCGUGCGAUGGGCGCUGCGGCAGAAGGGGCGGCCCGAGAGGCGCAUCACCACCUCCGGCGGCGGCCGCGCUGAGAUGUUCCCGCUGGAGCCCCGCGGUAACGCAUCCCUGCUGCUCCGGCGCGUGGAGCUCGGUGACGAGGGGACGUACAUCUGCGCGGUGCAGGCGGCAGCCCUCGUGCUGGAGCAGGCGGUCCUGCUGCAGAUAACAGAAAAGCCCACGGUGACCGUCAACGUGAACUCCCUAUCCCUGGUGGAAGGGGAGCAGCAGAAGUUGGUCUGUGACAUCCGCAACUACUACCCUGCAGACAUCCACGUGCAGUGGCUCCGUGAGCCACGGGGUGCCAGGCGGCUCCCCGACACCGUGCCCAACGUCCUCACCAGCAGCCACCGGCGCAGCAGCAACGGCACCUACAGCUUCUCCAGGUUCUUCCUGCUGACAGCGACCCUGCAUGAGGACGGCCACACCUACACGUGCCGCGUGGAGCACUCCAGCCUGCAGGCACCCAUCCGCAGGAGCGUCAGCGUGGCAGUGAGAGAAGCGACCUCCACCACCCGGCUGCUGCUGCUGCUGCUGGGCCUCACUGGGUGCCUUGUGGCUGCACUCCAUCACCUCCACAAAGGUGAGAACAGCUUCAGGUGGGGGGAUGGGGGUGUCUGGGUUGGAGGGGAGAGGGCUAUACCAUGCAGAGCAAUUCUGUGCCAAGAUGCCCCUGAGAUGCAGUGAUGCUGCAGACCCUGCCUGUUGUCCUUUUAUUCACAGCCUUUCUUUUUUUCUGUUUUCCUUUUUGCCCACCCUAGCGAGGAGCACAACUAAGCCCAAACCUUACUAGGCACAGUGCUCCAGCAAGGAGCAGCCACGGCCCCAUGAGCUUCAGGUGCCAUCGGCACUGCUGGAUGCCUCAGUGCAGGAGAGCAGGGGGCUGGGGCAGGCUGAAGGUGACGGCUGUUGCUGAAUGCCAGUGUGGAUGAAGCAAUCUUCCCAGUUACUGGCAAAGGGGAAAGCUGCAAGAAUUAUUUUUGUAAUAAAGAUUGAUUUAGAGAACCCAA